rfam:Hypholoma sublateritium FD-334 SS-4 unplaced genomic scaffold scaffold_81, whole genome shotgun sequence.
UGCCCCAUGGCCCAGUUGGCUAAGGCGUCCGACUGUUACCGACUCGCAAGAGGCGCGCCAUCGGGAGAUCGAGAGUUCGAGCCUCUCUGGGGCAG